rnacentral:rRNA from 1 species
UACGUAGGGUGCAAGCGUUAUCCGGAAUUAUUGGGCGUAAAGAGCUCGUAGGCGGUUUGUCGCGUCUGCUGUGAAAACUGGAGGCUCAACCCCCAGCCUGCAGUGGGUACGGGCAAACUAGAGUGCGGUAGGGGAGAUUGGAAUUCCUGGUGUAGCGGUGGAAUGCGCAGAUAUCAGGAGGAACACCGGUGGCGAAGGCGGGUCUCUGGGCCGAUAUUGACGCUGAGGAGCGAAAGCGUGGGGAGCAAACAGG